UUACGGACAUAUGGGAUAGCUUCGUAAGCGUUUGACGCCUCGCAGCAUGGCGUCAACAAUAAUAUUGAACUUUCAUCUUAUGAAGAAGGUGUUUGUGAUAACAUUAACGAUGUGCGUCAUUUCCUGGCCACAUAUUGCGAUUUGCGCGUGUUUAACAAAGCUCUUUUCGAUUGUGUUUUUGUGCUGGUUGACGUUGUUAGAAGCAAAAUCAGCAUGACUUUGCUGUCAGUUUAUCGUUUACAGCAUUAAACUUCGAAUGUUGUCGAUUAAAAAUUCAGAAUAAAUGGAUGCUUUUCCAACGCUCGUCAUGUCUGCAAAUCGUCAAUUUAUCAUACGUGAUAUACACUGCGACAAAUUCGAGCGUUUAUUAUGUCGUGGUGUUGGAUGGGAUGGCUGACAAUGAUGACUUUGCAUCGUGAGUGGGCAACCACAUGACAAAAGACUUCUUCAUUUCCGGUUUCAAUUUUGUUACUAAAGGAUAUGAUACGGGGGUGCGCAAACCUUAGAGAAAAAUAUCCCUCCGCACUUCUCGUUAACAAUGGAAGUUGAGGUUUGGUGAAGGAACGUGGACAUGAAGUACACUUCUGUGUUCUGGAAUAGUCUAUUAGAUUAGGCUGAUUGCCAAUUUUUAAAGAUUGGCUGUCAUAUUCAUUAGGUAAUGAGCAAGUCGAAGAAGGUGAAGAUGUUGACAAUAGCAUUGCGAAAGCGAAAUCAGAGCUGCAUUUUAUCGCUUAGAAAGGACUCUUUAAAUCAUGCAAUGUACAAUUAUGCAAUUUACUAAGUUGGGAAAUACCCAAAAUGUAUGAAAUAACUUAAACUAUUUUUCUUAACUUGGGUCUUAUCAUAAACGAAGGCAUAAUUGCAGUUGGAAAUAGAACAAAAUCCUUCUUUAAAUUUCAACAUAAUUUGUCAUUAUAGUCGCCACAUUUUCUAUUCUUUUCAAAUGAUUGUGUAAAUGAUGCGAACCGUUUUCCUGUUGAUGUGCAGCUAUCAGUUGGGGGUAUAGAUUUCCAUCAAAAUUACUUCUUUCACACAAAGCGAUACAAAGUUCUGCUUCAUCAAAGUGGAAUGGUGAUAAAGUCUUUAAAACGAUGAUAGCGUUCUUGGCAUUGCAAAAGCCAUAGAAAUCAUGAUAAGACGAAAGCAAAGCUAUUUACGUGCGUCUAUCUCAGCCAACUGUCACGAACGGAUUCUCGUGUUUCUAACACAUAUGGGAUUAAUCUGUACAAAAAUUGUCGUCAACGUUUUUAUGUUGCGUAAAUAUUACUUUAUACUGUGUGCAAACAUCAGGAUCCUUCAAAUUCAAUACGCGCACAUUGCGUUCAUGCUAUCGUUUUUCUUUAAGUAUGCAUGUGCACGCAACAAUAAAGUUAGACUACCAAAAUCUUGUGAAUUUAUGAACGUGCUCUGAUUAAGAUGAUACCUCUUCUGUUGUGAAGGAACAAAUUAUAGUAAAAAUGCAAUUUAUGUUACUAAUUUAUGUGUUAUCAUUAUGUGCUUGGUGUAUGAUGUUAUUGUAGUAUUUCAAAAAAUAGAAAUUCGGUAUUGUUAUUCACACCGAGAUUAAGUUUAAUAAAACAUGGGAAGCAGCAAUUGGUAAUAAAGCUUAAAGCAAAUAAA